UACGUAGGGGGCAAGCGUUGUCCGGAAUCAUUGGGCGUAAAGAGCGUGUAGGCGGCUCGAUAAGUCUGCUGUGAAAGUCCAGGGCUCAACCCUGGAAGGCCGGUGGAAACUGUCGGGCUAGAGUCCGGAAGAGGCGAGUGGAAUUCCCGGUGUAGCGGUGAAAUGCGCAGAUAUCGGGAAGAACACCCGUGGCGAAGGCGGUUCUCUGGGACGGUACUGACGCUGAGACGCGAAAGCGUGGGGAGCAAACAGG
rnacentral:rRNA from 1 species